GUUUAACUACCAGAAAACUCUGCACUAUACACUUACAAUCAAAAUAGACGCUUAAAUUACCAGAAGAUUCAGAACUAUAAGUAGAUGUGUAAUCAUCAGAAGACUUCGAAUCAAGAUGCUUGUUUAAUCAAGAGUAUGUGCUACCAAAGUGAUUAUGGUAUAUUGGAAUAAGAGCUGUGAUACGGCACCGAACGACUUAAAGAAGUGGCUUAUUUUAUCAAAUGAAUUAAAUGUUAUUUUUAUGUAUUCGGGUUUAUCCCAUAUUAAAGUUAUCUUU
rnacentral:lncRNA from 1 species